UCAUGUGUCGUGUGUUACUGAGCUGAAGUGCUCUGGAAAUCAUGAUGCCGUGUCAUCGAGCUCUUUUACAGCAUCUUUACUCAAAGCUGUAUGAGGUCCAGAUUGCUGCCCUUGACAUCCAGCAUUUAUAAAGGGCUUUGCCGUACUCUACAAGCAAGACGUUUAUGUUUUUAUCUAAGAAAUAACAGUUAUUCAUCGUUCAGGGCAGCUGCGCAAGCUUUACAUCACAACAACACAAACGUGAAGCGUCUUCAGAGUCCGUUCUCCUGGCUCUCCCUCAUGUCGUGUUUCGGGUCAUUUUGACCUGGAAAGGAUGAAAUGCUAGUCCUCAGGGUUGGAGGACUUCGACUUCGAGAGGCAACACUCUCCCUCUACUGCUGCAGGUGCGAGGAGAUGACGGCUGCCUUGUGGCACUGCCCCCUGCCCUCUGCCCGUGCCCUCUCCCCACUGCCAGUCUUAUAUAGACACCCGUCUCAAAUACAAGCUGGAGCAGUUUGACGAUUUGGGAGAAUAAAAGUCUGGGCUAAGAUUGAUGCAAAGUCUUUCA